rnacentral:lncRNA from 1 species
GAAAUCGCGGGCAUAUACAGCUUGUGAACUGUUGUAGGAUGAUGUUUGUAAAAGAUAAUUAUGUAUCAUGGAGAAUUUCAGAAAAGGUAUCAAAAGCCCUCUCCCUUUUUCCAAAGUUCGAUAUUUGUUUCCUUUCUGUUAAAUUCAACUAUUUUCGUGUUUCUGGCCUCAGACCACAAUUAUUCUUCUCCUUUGCUACAAUGCAUCUUUUGGUAAAAGUCAAAUUAAAUUAAAAAUU